rnacentral:lncRNA from 1 species
CUUUACAUAAAUUUGAAAAUUACAUUUUAACUUGUGGUUUGAAAUAUUGUUGUUUGAAUUUGCUAGAAGAUUCAAAUAUGAAUCAUCAUUCCUUCUUUGAGUUUGAAUUCCUUUUCCUAUAUUUUACAAAUGUCAAUCAAAUGGGUUUUGAUUUAAACCUUUACCCCAUUUGAAUAUUUCCAAAUAGUAGUGCCAUAUUUGAAUUCUCCUACUUCUCAACUUUUCAAAAUGGUAUUUGAAAUUUGAAUCCAAAAACUAUUUGCACAACAGAAAACAGAAAAAGGGAAAAGGAAAAAGAGAAGAAAAAGAAAAGCUUACCUCUUACUUUCGGCCCGAGUCAGCCUAGCCACCUCGGCCCUUUCUCUUCGCGAGCACCAGUCGCCUCGGCCC